rnacentral:rRNA from 1 species
CCUACGGGUGGCAGCAGUGGGGAAUAUUGGGCAAUGGGCGAAAGCCUGACCCAGCAACGCCGCGUGAAGGAAGAAGGCUUUCGGGUUGUAAACUUCUUUUGACAGGGAAGAGCAGAAGACGGUACCUGCCGAAUAAGCCACGGCUAAAUAAGUGCCAGCAGCCGCCGUAAUACGUAGGUGGCCAGCGUUGUCCGGAUGUACUGGGUGUAAAGGGGGUGUAGGCGGGCUGACAAGUCAGGUGUGAAAGUCGGGGGCUCAACCCCCGCACUGCAUUUGAAACUGUUGGUCUUGAGUGUCGGGGAGGCAGGCGGAAUUCCUGGUGUAGCGGUGAAAUGCGUAGAUAUUAGGAAGAACACCGAUGGCGAAGGCGGCCUGCUGGACGACAACUGACGGUGAGGCGCGAAAGCGUGGGGAGCAAACAGGAUUAGAUACCCGAGUAGUC